AAUUUGUCGACGAAUUUGAUAUUCUUUUACAAAAUAUACUUAUCUUAAUAUGUAUAACCGGAGUUUAUAUUACAUGCCCCUCUCCCAACGAUAGUUGUAGUACUCUUAUAAUAGUAGUACUCAUGAAUACAGUUAAUCCGGGUUGUUGGGAGAGAUCACAUGCAUAAAUACAACAUGAAACAAACGUGUGAAAAAGGUACAUAAAAUCGGUGUGACCCGUUCUUGUAUUAUAAGAAAUCAACUUGCUUAGGCCUUGCCGGACUCCUCACAACCCGGUGGCUUGAAGGCGAUGAAGCUGAUGCACUGCACUUGCCUGGUGUUGUCGAAGCCGAUGAUGCGGACAUAGGCGUCAGGGUACUCCUUCUUCACCUCCUCCAGCUCCUUUAGCACCUGCGUGGCGUCGGUGCACCCGAACAUGGGAAGCUUCCACAUUGUCCAGUACCUGCCGUCGUAGUACCCGGGAGAGUUGCCGUGCUCACGGAAGACGAAACCGACCUUGCUGAACUCGAGGCAAGGAACCCACUUGGAGCGGAUGAGAUACUCGAUCUGCUUCAAGAGGGACUCCACGGUGAGAGGCGGCAGGUAGGAAAGGGUUUCGAACUUCUUGAUGCCCUCAAUUGGCCACACCUACAAUUAGAUUAAUAAUUAGCACCGAAAGUAUAAUUUGAGACACAUAUCAGUAUUUCACUUCAACAUAUGUACAUGAUGACAUACAUACCUGCAUGCACCUGAUCCUUCCACCGUUGGAGACGCUGCCGAGACCAGCGCUGGCUGAGCGGCGGCCGAUGGGGAGCCCGGCGGUGGACUUGAGGCCCUGGAAAGGAGCAACGGCAGUAGCCGCUGACGACAUCACUGUGGGAGCCAUCGUACACGUACGUAGAUAGCUAACAAGAGGAGGCAGGCUUGCUUGAGUGCUCUCUAGCUACAGCGGCUUAUAUAACUGUAGGCUCCCCACCCAUCCAAUAUCAGCACAAGAUCUAGGAGGGGUGGCUGCAGUUCGCCGCGCGGAUUUGCCCAGGCCACGCUGGCAUCCUACGGAUCAGGUCGGGCGCCACAUGGCCGCACGAAAUGGCGCGCGUUAUCCUCUGGACGGAUACAAUUGGCUGCAACGCACUCUGCAAAUCAUGCCAUGAAGUGACCAAUUUUCACCUAUCAGGAUAGAUCCAAUGUGCCACGGCAUGCACUCAAAAACAGAACUUGCUAAUCCCUCCAAUCCAUAAAAAAUCUCGCCCACUUAUUAGAAAAUUUGUAAUGAGUUAAUGCAAAAUGAGCAGCACUUUUUAUGAACUAGAGGAACAACAAAUUAAGAGAAACUCUUCUAAGAUCUUAUCGAGAACGAAGCUUGCCCCCGCGUCGCUCAGUCUGGGGCGACACGGGCGGCAACCACACCAGCCCCGGCAGCAGCCUCUCCCCGUCCUCUCCUCCCCCUCGCCGCCGCCGGGCAAAGCCCGCACGGGGACGGCGGCGGCGGGGCUGUUUUUCUUGGCGGGGGUGUCCUAGAGCUCUUGGCUGAGGCGUUUGAGGUGCUGCCUCAUCGUGGUCGCGGCGUCUCCGGCCCGAUCCGGCAGGCUAUGCCUCGUCUUCGGCUAGAUCCGGCCGGCUUCCUCCCGGAUCCGGUGUUUCCCCUCGUUCUUCCUCUCCCUGGUGCUCGGUCUGCUCGUGGCUGCGCGGCUUCACGGCGGCGCUCUUCGGCCGGAUCUAGCUACUCGUUGGCCAGAUCCGUCAUCUCCUCCGGCUGAUCCGGCAUGUCCCAGGUCUCUUCGUUUCCAUCAUUUUUCCUCUCAGUUUGGUGAGGCGGCUGAUUGAACUUCACCGGCGGCAGAUGGGCUGCUGCUGCGGCCAUACAUGGUCCAAGUCGGUCCUUUUCGAUGCCAUGGUGGCGUGGUUUUCAUUUUCGGUCGCGUCUUCGGCUGCUGCCCGUGUGCGAGGUAUGGACGUCGGCUCCGGUGUUUGGAGUGUUGCUCUGGAUGAAAACUGCCCGUGUGCGAGGUAUGCCGAAGACAACGAUGUUGUAGCGCCGUUUUCCUUCUUGGAGGUGUCGUCGAAGAGCUUCACUUUCCCUCACUUUGAUGUUUGGUGUCUUCGGGUGAAAACCUAAGAUUUGGCUAUGGCCAGAUCGGGCGACAACGGCGUUUUUACGUCGAUUUCCUCCUUGGGGGCGUUGUCAUGGAGACAACGACUCUUGGUGGCAUCGGGUGGUGUGGUCCGUCUAUGGUGGAGCUUGUUGUCUCGAGUUGUUGAAGGUUUGGUGGUGUCUCUUCUUGUGUCAUGUGUUAGCUUAGGCUGUCGGUUUGUGUCCGGCGAGAACGUGCGUUUCUUAUCCUUUGGUGCGGUUUCGGCAUGUGAUGCCUUUCGUCUUCACUAUCGUCACGUAGGUGUCGUGUUGUAUUCUCGGUGGUGUGUGGUCUUUCGGCUUAGCCAACGGCAAGUGGAGGUAUGAUCUCGGUUGUGUAUUGCCCUUCGACUUCAUCGGCGGCACAUCGGCGUCGCGGUGGGUCUCAGUGACGCGCAGCCCUUCGACUCUGCCGGCUACGUAGGUGUCAUGGUGCGGCCUUGACCCUGUGCUUCCCUUCAGCUACGGCGACGACAUAGUGUCUGGGUGGGCUCGUCAGAUCGACGCCUUUCGACUACAUCAACUAUGCUCUUCAUUGUGCAUUUAUUUUGCCAUUGACAUGUUUCAAGAGUCUAGGUUUUUUCCUUGUGUUUCUUUUAGCAAAUGCUGUUCUGCAGGCUGGCUUUUGCCCACCCGAUCAGAAAAGAAAAACAAAUUAAAGGCUAAAAUCAAGCGAUGUUAUAUUCCCUUAGCUAUUACAAAUAUGGAUGAUAAGAGUUAUUUAUCCUUUUUCAACGAGUAACCCUUUACUUGGAAGUUCCAUGUGCAUGGCGCUGCAAGAAAACAAACAUCAUAAUGGGGCAAGACUUUUUUUUUUAUAAACAUCCAAUUUGGGUUAAAGUCUGAAAGAAUUUGGCUAUCUGAACUUUCAGUUUCCACAUUCUUUUACCUACUCAAUUCUUCAGCCAACAGGAUCAAUGGCGACCUACUAACACCAACCAGAACACAUGGGUCACAAACACGAAAAAGGGCUAGAAGGCUACUUAUACACACUCAUGUGUACUGCGAGCAAAAGAACAUAAUGUACAAAACUUUACAAAAUCUAGGGAAUUAAGACCUUCCCGUAUGCUGUUGCUGCCGCUGCUGCUUCAUGCUGGCUCUCCUGGCAACAUCCCAUGGUUUGUGAGGCACACCUACACCUUGCUGGGAUGCGAAGAACGACUCGUAUCCCGGGGAGUCGAAAGCAAAACCAGUGUGCUUGGAGUUCUCUCGAGGGAGCAUGGAGAUCGCAUAGCUUCUUGCUUCUUCUGGGCUCAAAUGGCUCCUCUCAGGCAGAUGUAUCAUGCUGUAUUCGUGGGGGUCAUCCUUGUGCAUCUCCUGGAUUACUUGGUAGUCAUAGGGAAAGAGCCAUCUUUGGAGCCUGAGAAAGCACACAGCAUCAAAGACAACAAUUGAUUCAGCUACUUCAGUAUGUACAAUGGAAGGAAUAACAAACGGAUGGCAUUAACAAACAUAUAAUUUUGCAAAAGAGCUGGUAUCUUACGAUAGAUACAGGAAAUCACCAAAGAGAGCGAUGACUGGAGCAAGCAUUAGUGUGAGGUAGAAGAAAAAGGUACUCAUCAGAACAUAAAUCACAAAAUAUACAUUUUCCUGCACAAGGUACACAGCAUUAAGUCAAUGCAUUUGUAGCAAGUAAUCGUCAUCAGCAGUGUAAUAGCUACAUUAUUCACCCACCUGUCGGUCAAAUGAUGUCAUUAUCGCAGAAUAUAUGAAGAUAAACAGAAACCAGGCCGCUAUACUGCCAGCUACGCUGAAAUAAUGCCAUCUCGUGAUAGAAUUGCACGACAUGAGGAGACGUAGAUUAACAGUCACCACAACACAAGUAAAGGCCAUCGUGCUAACAUCCCAUUGACCAAGAAUCUUGCCAGAUGAACCGUGACCAUGCUGACUUGCAGCUGCAGUAAAGUAAUAGAACACUAUUGACUGGUAGAAGGCAAAGAAACCCCACACCGCAAUCACUUUCCACCGGAAGAAUGUGUUCCUAAUUCCUUCUUGGUAAAGUUGUGGGUAUUUUUUUGAUAGAGAUGCACUCACAUCCUGAAAGGGUUCAGUUUAGUGAAUGUAGCAAGGAGCGUCACUCCAGAACAAGAAAAGUAGAACAAAUACAAGCAACCAUACCUUAUCAAACAACCCAACCAUAAUUACAGGUAGUGCCGUGAAAAUGACAUUAUACAGAGACUGGAACCAGUCAUCAUAAAAUCGCUGACCAGAAAAGCCAGUUUGGAAAGUGAACCAGAACUGAGUUAGUGUAAAAGUCAGAUUCUUGUAGAAGAAGUAUGUGAUAACCUGAAACAGAAAGUGUCAAUGUUAAAAAAAUUAAACUACACAGAUUGGCAGCUACAAGCUAAGGGACCAAAGCAUACCUUGCACAAUCUCAAGUAUGACCACCGCCCAUGUACAAGAAGUAAAUCCGUAAGAUAUCGAAACUGAGCAAUGGCAAAAUCACUCGCCAUAACAGCUUGCAUUCCUUCUUGUCCGCUGAUGCCAAUACCAACAUGAGCAGCUUGAAUCAUACUCACAUCAUUAGCACCAUCACCAAUACUGAGAGUUAUCUUACGUGCACCUUUCCUAACUAAACUUGCAACCUACAAAUGUGUCAACAUUACAUGUUUUGGCAUCAUUCGAACCCAACAGGUUAUUAGGAAAUAAAUCCAAAAAUAAGAGACUUUGAGAUUGCUGAUGGGAUGGGUAACAACCAAAUAAGCACAUAUACAAUAAGUUAAUUAAUACUACCUUUGUUUCAAAAUAUUAUACCAAAACGUCUUAUAUUUUGAAACAGAGAUAGUACUUAUAGUACAAGAGUGUACAGGACAUUUAGUUAAGAGGCCAAAACUAGAAUAGCAAAAGCAACCAAUGCACAGUGGUUAAUAAUGAUCUUGUGAAUCAUGCACAAACUAUUUUGUUGUCAAGGUACAAAAUUGGAUCCUUUAAAAUGUAAUAAUAUCAAUAUCCCCCGUUUAUUGCCCAAGCAUCCUGAAAGGCAUGCAGCUGAGAGCUGCAGACCAUACUGCUAAUUAUUUCAUGGGAAAAGGCAAGGCAUGCAUGAUAAGAACGCUAAAAGCGAGAAUUGAUAUUUACCUGUGCCUUUUGCAGUGGAGAAACUCGACAACAUACAACUGAUUGGCAAAUUAAACUCAAACCAAGAAGAUUCACACGCAGAGCUGGGUCUAGAGCGUACAUCAAGCAUCGUCCAUCAAUAAUGAAAGCCAACUUUCGUCCUGGCGUGCUCCUCAAAGAACGGUGGGCUUCCUCAAGGUAACUUCUCAGACUCUGUUUUACCGAGUCUUUGAUAACACGUGCAAUUUCCACAGGGUCUCCCUGAAAAUGACUGGAACAUUAUUCAUGGCAAAGAUAUGUGCAUAAGUUGAUUUACAUCAAUCAGAUACAAAUGCUAAAUUGCUAAUUAUGGUUGAUCAAACUGCAAAACACACGAGAUAUCCAAAAGGCUAUAUAAACAUGAUGGAGAGGCUAAAGCACUGAAACAACAGAAUCAACAUAAAGUAUUUUGUACUAUUAUGCAACUAAGCCUUUUGUCCCAAGCAAGUUGGGGCAGGCUAGAUAUGAAACCCAAACAGAAACUAAAGCAAAGUGCAGGUAACAAAAGAGCAAGAGAGUAAAUCAAGGUUCAGGCACAUGGACUGCUGAUUUCCAUGCAGCCCUAUCAAAAGCAAAAUCUCUAGAUACAUUCCAGUCCUUCAAGUCCCUUUAACUGCCUCCUACCAAAAGCAAAUAUCAUAGUAAUCCACCAACCAAAGUAACAAGGGAACUACUUGUAACUUCUUAGUUCACAAGUACAUACCAGUUGAGCUAUCCAAUUAUUCUAAAUAAUAUGGUUUGAUACCUUUACCAAAGUCUCAACUUGUAUUCAUUUUAAAGCUUAUACAAGAUAUUAUAUGUUAUGGCUUAACAGUCUCCAUGACACAAUAUGGCUUGACUUCACAGUUUAAUUCUAUAGGAUUAUCUUACCCUGUCUUCAGCAUCUCUAAUUGCAUCUGUCUCAGAAGUGAUGAUGAAUUGUUUUGUAUCGUUAUUCACCAGGCUGCACGCUGCAGAGCAAAAACUAAAUAACUUCAGAAGCUUUUCUAUGUCAGGUGAAAGAGAGAGAAAAAGACCGCCCGCCCCCCACCAAUAAUCCAAAACUGAGCUUCUAUUAGACCCCUUAAGAACGAAACAAGCAUGCAAAUUGAUCUAUAUAUAAUUAAAACCUCACCAUAUGCUAUAUUAAUUGCUGUUUCCAUUUUAUCUCCAGUUAGCACCCAAAUUUUUAUGCCAGCUGCAGAAAGAGUUUCAAUGCAGGCUGGAACCCCUUCUUGCAGUUUGUCUUCUAUUGCAGUGCACCCUAUCAAUAUAAGGUCCUUUUCAAUCAACUCAGCCACCUACAGGGGAAGAAACAGAAGGAAAUUAUAUGGCAAUGUCCCAGCAAUAUCUUAAAUCAGAAUAUACAUUAAGUCUAUUACUUCAAAUUCCUUUUUCCUAGAAAUCACAGUGAACUUAGUACAUGAAAGAAUGAAAGGAUAAUGCUUUUCUAAUGGGGAUUUGAAAAAACAUCAUAAAAAUAAUAAUAUAAAGUACUGUAUGUUCUUGUUCUAGAUAAAUUACAAAUAUCUUUUGCUCAUGAUCCUCUUUCCUGACUAAAAAAUAUAUAUUAUUAUGUAAAAUACUAAUGUUCUAUGGCAGUACAAGAUAAUAAAUUAGCACAAAAAACUAUUAAACUGCAAAUGUCAGCUGUUAGGGAUGGAUGACAUGACUCCUGUAGUUUUGGGGGGAGAGAGAGAGGAGACACACUGAACAAAUUACUUCCUUCGUCUCCAAAGAUUGCCAUGCCACAUUCUAUUCGGUCAGUCAACCUUUUACAACUUCAAAAUUAACAAUUAUAAGUGAAUUGAAUUACUACAUGAAAAAUAACAGCACUCAAUUUGCUUGCAUAAUAAUUUGUACGCAAAACUUUUGCUUGUAUAUUAGCAUAGAAAUCAUAGCCAGAGUUUUAUGUUGGGAGAAUAUAAAAUUAAAAAAUGGCCUACAUUUGUCAGGUACAUUCAGUUAAUUGUUUCCAAAACCAAAUUAAUUUUCAUACAUAAAUACCAAACGGAUCAAUAGCAUGCUCAACAGUGCACAUGAGACUCGAGUUCAGUACUGGAUGACAGAAAGUAAAAAAAAUCAGGCAAGCACUAGAAGGUGGAGGGGAAGUAAUCGAAAUUCAAAUCACAGGGACUGUUCAGCCUGUAUACUCAACAGAAGAGGAUGGUACACAUACCUCAUCAAGCUUCUUAUCACGAUCUCGUAAAGAAGAUUUAGCUUGAACAAACUUCUCAUUCCAGCUUUCGUACUGCUCCCUGCUUAGAUCUCGAUAAGCAAGGCAAAGCGUGCGCAAGCCAGCAGAGCCAAAUUGUUCUAGAUGUUCUCUGCUUGUCUUUUUAAUGUCAUGAUUUCCAUCAGCUAACCGUUCAAAAAUGACAUUAUCAGCGCCCUGUUACACAACAUUUGUAUAAGGUUAGUGCAUCAAUCUACAAAGUGAUAGCUACAUAAAGAUUCUUUUUUCUUGUAUUACCUUGCAAUACAGAACAAGUUUUCCAUUUGGGAAACGGCAAACCACAGAUUGGCGCUUUCUUGUACUGUGAGUGCAGUAAAGUGUGAAGUGCAGAACAAUGAUUUCAUCUUGUCAAAUUUAAAUUGAAAACAGAUAAACCAGACCUGUUGAAUUCCAAAACAUUCAGAAUUUCAUAUGCAACAUCUUGUAUACUCCCCAUCCUCUCAACAUGUGAUUCCCGAACCAAGACUGUGGUUGGCGUACGUCUACAAGACAGGCACAAAAUGUCAACCACCGGCAUUGCCAUUCACAAUAAAAAUGCCACAUGAAAUAAUUUGCAACAAAAAUCAUAAGAACUUAGAUGAGUUCAUGUUCACAGCACUUGCUUUAACACUUGUCUUAAUUUACAACGGCAAUUUUUUGUUGAUGGGCUAAUAGUUUAUUUAUGCUUCUUAGUAUGUACAUUCAGUCCUUCAUACAACAAACUAUAUAAGCAAUAACCUGGGUGAGUGACUCUUUUAUGCACAUUUUCCUUGGGACCAUAGCAUAGUUUUUUAAGAUACCUUGUUUGCAACAAACUGAUAAGAGGAAUCUAUAACUGUAUUUAAAGGCAAGGUAAGACAUGCCUAUAAAAGAAGAAACCAAAAUUCUUCGCAGCAGCGACAAGCGCGGCCUCGUCGGGAGAGGCAGCUUGAUAAGUAAUCUUUUCCGGUGUCUCCUCACCCUCAGGAAGAACUGUAUGACAGAUUGCAAGGCAUCUGCAGAAUUGCUAUAGAGCAAAUAACAAAGUUGUUACACAACUAGCACAUUAACAAGGGAAAAUGUGAAAAAGGAAAAUAGGUUCCAAAUUUUAUUAGUAAGGGCAUAUAUCGUGAUAUGUGAAUAAUUUGUGUCAACUAAAUCAAAACUGAUUAUGACCAAAGGGGAACCAAUCGAACUAUUCCACAGGUAGUCCCGUAUUUACCACGCAAGCAUCAGGAUUAGGUUCAUUUCUCCAUGCACCACGCAUUAUUCUAGCAUCAUCAAAGUUGAAUCCUUUCUCAUGAACUGCAGUGGCUGAUCUUUUACCCUAAAAAAGGCAAGUAAACUGGAUAUUAAAUCAGUUGUGCAUUAAAUUUUUCAUCAUAUACCACCACACUUCAAUAGCGUAAACAACAAAGAAAAUGUUGUAGACCUCAUCAUCAUCAAUCUUGACUCCGGCUCGCUCGGCUCCUCCUUUUUCAAUCUCUGUGAUGCCAGUUCCAUAUAUUUCCCCUCCAAUCGAACAUUUAAAGAAUUCCAUCAAGUUUCUUGUAAGUGUUCCAGUUUUGUCAGAAAAUAUAUACUCAACCUGAACCAUUAGUGGGGCAAAAAAAAUUUGGCAGAAAUGUCAAAUUAUUUGCAAGUGUUAAGUGCAUUUUAGUACCACUCGGCAUUUGUUCAGUCAUAUAAGCAUUUCUGGGGAUCUAGAACAGUUUUUCGGUGGGAGUAAGUCACUUAAUAUUAGUGAAAUGAGACUGUUCCCCAAGUGCUUAUAAUUGAUCCCACUUUCUGGAAUGAGUCGGUGCAGUGAGGUCAUUCUAUCCAUUAACCAAACCCAGCCAUAUAGGUCAAAUAAGUAAAUAACCCCAUUUCAGCAACAAACAAAGGGGCUUUCAUCAAACUAAACAGAAUGCUAAGGAACAAAAAAAAAACUGAUAUUACCUGCCCAAGCUCCUCAUUCAGAUUAGAAGUCCGAGCCAAAGCUGGGGUGUUGCUCUCGGCAUGAUACAUAUUCAGAUCAUUGUUAAUAAACUUUGCACACUGAAUGAAUUUGAUCAUCUGCCAGCCAAAAUAAACAUAAGGUCCAAUCCAAAUACAGGGUACACUAAAUGAUAAAUUGGUCAAUAUACCUCAAUGGAUACAUAAAGAGAAAUGGGGAUGAUCGUUGAGUAUAGAGUUAUUAGAGUAAACAUAGUUAAAAUGGUCACCUGCAAAAGUACAAACCUAUGAUAUAAGGCCACUUAGAGAAUAUUCUCUACAAUAAAUUAACUAAAAUAAUAUAUACCACAAAUCUGUUCUUGGGAUUAAACUGGUCCUCGACACGCCCACGCAAUCCAAGAUAGAAGUAUUUCUCAUUAAUAAACACGCCACUGUUCACAAAAGCCAAGUAUGAUGAGUCCAUUGGUAGAGUUUUAGGUUUCUAAAGAACGUGCAAGCUAAGCAGUCAUAGUUACCAAAAUCUAUAUGCUGAACAGAGCACUUCCAUUUCUGACCAUCUAGAAAGUGCCCUAUUAUGUACCUCCCACAUAAAACCACUAAGAAAAAAGAUAAGGCUAUUAAGACCUAGUCAUGUGCUCAUCUAUACUGCUCCUAUGCCACAAUAAAAAAAUAACUUCCCCAAACAAGCUCCUGACAACUCAUGUCAUAAUGUUUAAAGUUUAUCUCUCUAUUAACAGUUGUUUUUUCAUGAUCAAUUAAAUUGUGAAAAAUGAUUGUGCAAGCAUAAGCCUCCACAACAUCAACCUAACCGAUAUAACUCAUGUUCAGAGAAUAUACAUGUAAACAAUAAUACAAGAUAGAUAAGUCAAAUAAAUGAAGUGGGCCAAAUAAAACACUGACCUUCCAAUAGCACCAAUGACACACAUCGUAAAGAGGGUUGCAAAUAGAGCAAGAAUAAGCUUGUCUAGUUUCUUCUCCAAUGUACUUCUUUUAGAGGGAACAUUCAUAGAAUUCAUCAUAACCUGCAAUAGUGUCCCACUGCAGUAAAUCUCAAAACUAGAAGCACAUCUAACCUACAAGUUGAAUAUAUAGGGACACAAAAUUGCACAUACUUUCGUCUCAUGGCCCGUGAAUAUAACAGCCGCGACAAUGUACUCUGUAUUACGAAGGCUGCAUCCCUGUGGCAAAGUGGUAAUAAGAGGUUGCAUGUGUGCCACAUAAAGAGAGAGAAUUAAGUGUCAUGCAAGACACCGUUCAGUCUGGUGAAAGUAAACAUUUCUUUUGCACUUUACAAACAUUGCUUCAACCCUUCACCACUUAUCCUACAUAUGGGACUAGAGAAGAAAUGGAAGUUGUUUAUAUGAAUGUUAAACAUUUCCAAAUUGUUUAUAUCAUAGCUAUCCUUGUUUGCAAACCAAUAAGAACAAUAUUAUUAUAGAGGUGUUUUAUGAUGAAAAUUUCUGCUGGUGACAUUUGGGUGUCGUCAAUAUUGGUAUUUGGAGGAGAUGUUGGUGAUCAAAGUUAAAGGCCGAGUAAAGGCAUCACGCUAUGAUGUUAUUUUUUACCUGAGGGAUUUUCUUAACAAACUCAUGCUAAAUCUAGAACAUGCAAACAACUUUGCAGGUGGACAAUCUUGUAAAGAAAUUUCAAGGGCAUGUUUGUGUGAGGGGUAUUACUUUGGUACGUGUUGGUAACUACAUACCUAAUUGUUACAAGAAAAAUCUCAUCCAAACAAGCCCUAAGGACAUUAUGGACCUUGCUACUGCAAAGUUGGUAAGUCGAAAAUACGACAGGAUGUCUGAUUGAUAUGUAGGACCUGGACCCACAUGUCAUUCUCACAGCGAGUCGCACUAUUUCAAAUGUCAACUUUGUGGUGGCAUGGUUUCAAUUUUCCCAAUAAGAAACUAGAUACAAAUAGCAUAGAUGAACAGCACUUACCCUUAGUAGUAUUUGAUUUGGUGAAAUUGGUAUAGUUUGCUUGUCCACAAUAAGGUUCCCGGUAAAUGUAUAAAGUGAAUUGUUUGGCUGUUCGCAUUGUAUUUCACCUGUAAGCCAUGAAACAUACAGAUAAUGUGAAGUUAAGAAAAUGUAGAAUAGUUAAGUGAAGUUCAGAAAAGGAGCAAUGCUUCCUACACCAACUACCGAAAAAUGUCUGCAACAUGGAACAAGAAUAGAUAAAAACCUUUGAAUUCAGAAGCCUUUUCAGGAAUUACGCAGUCCCAGGUUUUCUCCAAAGCCUUCCUUAUUUUCAGGUUAGUUUCCCCAUCAAGAUUUGCUGUCUAAGGUAAAUAGAAGUAUGAUACACUUCAAUUAAAACAGAGUUUCUCUAAAUCAUUCAAUAAUUUCAAUUUGGACAAAAGAUGGAGAAGGUAAGAAUGAAUAUAUUGACCUCUAUGUAGCAGACACCAUCAGGGUUCGUACUUGAUAGGAAGAGCAAGUCAGAAGGAAAGUAAGUGUCUUGCUUGAUCUGCUCUAAAGAAGUGCCAUCACUAUUAGUCUUUUUGGAUAUGUGUAUCGAGCUGAAGAUUAAAUUUGCACAGCACAAAAGAUCAAGUGCAUUAAUUUGUGGAAGCAACAGAUCAAUUGAAUUGAUCAUCAAAUUGCUAUCAGGAAAGAUGAAGACAUUACCCUCACAAUAUCUCCAACCUGCAGUCUUUUCCAAGGGGCACUUUCCCAUUUUUGACCUUGCAAUACAUCGACGUGCGCAUUAUUAAUUGACAUGUCAUUCUGGAAACGUUUCUGUAUAAUGGGAGGCAAACAAAAAGGGAAGAAUAUCAGAUAACAUUAAGAAUAGCAAUAAAAUAGUGGAGCAACAGAGCAUGAGAGCAAUACUAACCCAGUCCUCAAAAGCUUCCUUGAUGAGUGAAACCAAAAGCACUAAACUAAGUGGAACCACAUUGGUGACAGGGUGGACUGGACUGCGAAGAUACAAGCAUGUAUGAACUAAGAUUUCUAGAAGUAAAGGUGAAGGAAAGCAAAGGAUGACUGAAUCAACUGAUGGACUUGAUAUGCUAAGAAGUGUCUAGCUGUAACAUGAGAAUUCCAUAGGGUGCAUGCAUGAGAGAGAGAGAGAGACCUAAUUGGUGUAGUCGACAAGAUUGAAAUCAUAAGAAAGUAAAGAUUUGCCACCCGUCUGAACUGUCAAAGCAAAAAAAAAAACAAAUGAAUUACAAAAGGUUCCUAUGGUCAAAUUGCGAUAAUACAGAAAGGGAACAUCUAAAUCGGUGUUACAGCUACCAUUGCAAAGUUUCUUUAUUCGAUAUGGAAAAAUGCAUUACAUGUUUAAUGUAUGAAGCCAUUGAAAUACUUUAAUGUACCUUACGUAAAAAACAGUGGAUAAUGAAAUUGCCAGAAUUAUGGUAUCGCAUAAAAUGAAGGUUACAUUGAGCGAAAAGCAUGAUCAGGGCUUUACCAAAUAACAAAAUCAUACUUCUCCUUUUCUCAAUAUAUGGCAUUUUAGGUUUCAUUGAAGACAAGUCUUUGAAAAGGAUUUACUUUGUGUUGUUUUUAAGGCAUGAAAUUUAUAUCACUAGAUUCAUCCUCAAAAGUACUUAAUGUGGAUUCAUAUCAUAUAAAUCACAUAUUAAUGAAGUAAUUCUUGGUCAAAGUCUUGUAUUAACGAAACCUAAUAUGUCCUGUAUUGACAAAAUGAGGGAGUAUAUUAUCUAACAGUGCAUGUAUACAGGCACGAUACUGGUAGCGCGUAUUACAAGCAAGGUAUCUUAAAAACAUUGCAACACAGUGCCAGACCAGGUAAGCAACUAAGCAUCUCAUGUAUCCACUAUUUUAAGGGAAGUUGAUCCAGAGUGAGGAAAUAAACAUUUUUAAGGAGAUAUAUCAAUUUGCAAUGUGAAAAUGAUACGGAGUAGUAUAAUCAUUUCACUGUGAUAACAAAUACUCCCUCCGUUCUAAAUACUUGUCGCUGUUUUAGUGCAAACUAAAACAGCGACAAGUAUUUAGGAACAGAGGGAGUAACUUCCAUUUACCGUUAGACAUGAUACAAAAUAAUAUGUUGAAAAAAAAUCUAGCCAAAAACUAAAAAACAAACAGAAAAUCUGCAUUAAACGAUGACAAACCCAGCAGGUAUGUUGAUUAACAAAAUAUGUAUGAACAAAAAACAACGCAUCAAUACCUGUUCAAACAAUCCUUUAGGUAGAAAUGUCAGCACACUGUACUUUGUAGUCGACACAGAAUUUCCCUGGAAAUGUAGAAUGAGAAUGUUAAAGAACUAAUUCUAGCAGAAAAACAAAGUAGCGCUCUGCAUUAGAAUCGCGAUGGUCUGAUACCCAACAUGAGGGAGAUUCUGAAACUAAACAGAAGAGCUAAUUGCAACUAGAAGCAUGAAAAAAGUAUAGCUUGAUCUUUUUACAACAUCAAGUCUGAAUACAUUCAAGCAUUUACACUAACUUGGAACAAAAUGUGGGUGUCAAAGAAAAUGCAUGAAUACACCUACUUACAAUAAAGCACCAAUUUUGCAGUGAUUGGACAAACUAUGGUUAAAAUACUUAAUAAUAGAGUUCUACGUAUUUGGAGGCAUAAAACGCAUUGCAGUUGGAGCAGUGGCAUUAUCAUGUUAGUCAGUCUAACAUGGCAGUGAAUGACGUGAAUUUUUUGCUAGUUUAGACCUCUGGCCAGCGCAAUUGACAAAAAUGCCCCCCUCUCAAAACUAAUGCCAAAAAUGGUCUGGCAGAAGGCCCGAAAGGCGCCACAUUUCAUUUUUCGCCAUCUGAGCUGCGCAUGCAAACAUUCCGACAACCUGAAAGGCGGAAAGGCCGUUCCGCCUACUGCAUUUGAUGAAUGCACCUGACAAGGGCGGAAGGUGAACUGGGCCCUGCAGAUGGAAGCAAUUUCCACAUUUGUUACAGACCUGGAAUCUUUUUUUUUGUUGGAGUCGACGGACCAUGUAUGUGCGGAUGCAUAGGAAUCGGCAAGCAGCCUAGCUGCUAGUUCACGGGCACGUUUUACAUUUUCUUUCCUCAGGUUUGGCUAGUGCUACCACGUUGAUACUAAUCAACGCUUCUUGUGAAUGGGCUUAGUUGCUUCUACUAGUCGUGCGAGCGUUAAUCUUUUCUCUGUGCGCCUGCAUGUGCGGGCGUGGGAAUCGGGUCAGGUCCCUGCAGACAGCACGCCUGGCUGCACUGGGCCUGCUUCAGCUUCCGCCCCUGAAAAUUCACUUUCGU
rnacentral:lncRNA from 1 species